CUACCUCCAGCAACUCAAGUAAAAGGAGAUAAGGCCACACGUUUCCCACCUACAAUAUCCUUUUCUGCUUUUUCUGCACUAGGGAUUUCUGAAUUAUUUCCAAGUAGUCCAAGACCCCAUCUCGGAAGAACCCCCCUUUUAUCCCGUCUUAUUUCUUGUCAGUAGUGCACGUUCCAGUUCCCGUUCGGCAAUAUCGAAGUGUCCUUUUGAGAUCAGAGUGGCCUUAUAGACGAACUAAGAGUUAUCUCAUCAAUAACAUAUAAGAGAGAAACGAGAGAUUCAUACAUGGAUUUCGUUGAAGGAGCUCCUUCAUCUACAGUUGAUAUUCCAGAAUUUUUAAAAUCCUUCCCGAAGCUGUCUACCUCUGAUUCAUCUGCCAAUCUUGAUUCUUUACCUAAUGGUGCUAAAGUUGUAGCCACUGAAAGUCUUGCUAGAAAAACAUCUUCUUCUCAUUACACGUUAGCGGACAUGUUAAAAAGAUCAGACGUUACUUCACGAUGGGAGGAUGGUCGUGUUGUGAACGAGUAUCGCAGAAUUAUUCGGUCAGUUUGCAAACAAUUUAAUAUUUUUUUCUUUCUUUGUAAAGGUCAUUAACAAUGGGUUUGGAUGUAGGAAAUAAACUUUAGAUUUAGGUAAAAAUCAGAAUUUUUAUAUUAACAUACAUCUAUUUCCAUGUUUAGAUAAUAAAAAAAAAAGCCAUAGAAAUUUAUAAAUUUCACAUGAAAAAAAUAAGGAAUUUGGAUUGAAUAAAUAGAAAAGUUGAUAUAUAUUCAAAUUUUCUUUGAGAAGUUGGGUUUAAUCCUUGGAUUUGGGGACUUUGAUAUAACUCCUUUGACUUUUAUGUCAUACAUGAUUACAUUCCUUUUUAAAUUUUUUAUGAUGUAAUCUUUUUAUUUUUAUUUUUUAAGAUUAUUUUUUAUUCCAAUGUUGCCCCUUAAACAUUGAAUCGGGUAAUUGUAAUUUAUGUGAUAAUUACAAGAAAGAAUUGUUUAUGACC